UCUUGAUGGAGAACUUUGUAAAGUCUGGAAUUAGGGUUCGGUGACUCUGCAUCCGUGUAGGAGUCUACCAGCUGCACUUCACUCGGCCCGGGUUGCAAAAUCUUCAUUUGACUGCCCCUACGCUCAGCAUCGCUUAUUGUGAAUAUUCCAUCCUUCUGCUGCUGUACGACGUCCUGAAACUCUUCUUUACUCAGCCUUCUUAUAGGACAUAGACACUGUACUGGACUGGUGGUCCCUGUACUUUUCUGGCCCUUGUUGUGAGAGCUGCCAUGUCUUCUAAGAGGAACCCCCAUCUUUGAUGACUGAUGGAAAAGCCUCAUCACCUUCCAUUGCUUAAGAACCUCUUAUCUUAAUCACUAGCCAUUAAUCAGUGACCACCGUUAUCAAAGCUCCAAGAUGCGCAUGAUGCAACUUCCUGGGUGGUGCUGAGCCUGUUUGUCAACAUGUGGAACCCACGUGUAUUUGGGGGUAGGUAUGUUUACUCUCAAUUAUCUCUCUUAGAAACCGCUUAAGGCGUAAUUUUUCUGAUCUAAAAUUUUUCUUGAAGCAUUUAACUAGAAUUUCUCUUUCAUGAAUUAUAUGCUGAGAGUAUAGUUAAUUAAUUAACUGAAUUAAAGCUAUAUAGUAACAUAUAGUGAAAUUAAUUCCUUGUGUG